rnacentral:pre_miRNA from 2 species
CCGGGGUGAGGUAGUAAGUUGUAUUGUUGUGGGGUGUAGGGAUUUUAGGCCCCAAUUAGAAGAUAACUAUACAACUUACUACUUUCCCUAG